CAAGUGUCUGGGGUAAGUCCCCACUGAGAUGAGUCUUAGGCAGUGAUUCCGAGACGAAACGCAUU
rnacentral:hammerhead_ribozyme from 17 species